rnacentral:rRNA from 1 species
AGAUCCUGAAACCGCAUGCUUACAAAAAGUCGGAGCCUCGAAAGGGGUGACGGCGUACCUUUUGUAUAAUGGGUCAGCGACUUACAUUCAGUGGCAAGCUUAACCGAAUAGGGAGGGCGCAGGGAAACCGAGUCCGAAUAGGGCGAUUUAGUCGCUGGGUGUAGACCCGAAACCAAGUGAUCUAUCCAUGGCCAGGAUGAAGGUGUUGUAACAGGCACUGGAGGUCCGAACCGACUAGUGUUGCAAAAUUAGCGGAUGAGCUGUGGAUAGGGGUGAAAGGCUAAACAAACUUGGAAAUAGCUGGUUCUCUCCGAAAACUAUUUAGGUAGUGCCUCAAGUAUUACCUUCGGGGGUAGAGCACUGUUUAGGCUAGGGGGUCAUGGCGACUUACCAACCCUAUGCAAACUCCGAAUACCGAAGAGUAGAGCUUGGGAGACAGAGCACCGGGUGCUAACGUCCGGACUCAAGAGGGAAACAACCCAGACCGCCAGCUAAGGUCCCUAAAAUUGGCUAAGUGGGAAACGAAGUGGGAAGGCUAAAACAGUCAGGAUGUUGGCUUAGAAGCAGCCAUCAUUUAAAGAAAGCGUAAUAGCUCACUGAUCGAGUCGUCCUGCGCGGAAGAUGUAACGGGGCUAAGCCAAUUAUCGAAGCUGCGGAUGCACAGUUUACUGUGCGUGGUAGGAGAGCGUUGUGUAAGCCUGUGAAGGUGUCUGGUAAUGGAUGCUGGAGGUAUCACAAGUGCGAAUGCUGACAUGAGUAGCGUUAAAGCGGGUGAAAAGCCCGCUCGCCGUAAGCGCAAGGUUUCCUACGCAAUGUUCAUCGGCGUAGGGUGAGUCGGCCCCUAAGGCGAGGCAGAGAUGCGUAGCUGAUGGGAAACAGGUCAAUAUUCCUGUACCGCUCAAUGGUGCGAUGUGGGGACGAAGAAGGUUAGCUCAGCCGGGUGUUGGACAUCCCGGUUCAAGCGUGUAGUCGUGGUCCUUAGGCAAAUCCGGGGAUCUGAGAUGAGGCGUGAUAGCGAGUGUGCUUGCACAUGAAGUGAGUAAUACCCUGCUUCCAGGAAAAGCCACUAAGCUUCAGCCAUUGACGACCGUACCGCAAACCGACACUGGUGCGCGAGAUGAGUAUUCUAAGGCGCUUGAGAGAACUGCGGAGAAGGAACUCGGCAAAUUGAUACCGUAACUUCGGGAGAAGGUAUGCCCUCAGUAGGUGAAGUCGUACAGAUGGAGCCAAAAGGGGUUGCAAUAAAUCGGUGGCUGCGACUGUUUAAUAAAAACACAGCACUCUGCAAAGACGAAAGUCGACGUAUAGGGUGUGACGCCUGCCCGGUGCUGGAAGAUUAAUUGAUGGGGUGCAAGCUCUUGAUCGAAGUCCCAGUAAACGGCGGCCGUAACGAUAACGGUCCUAAGGUAGCGAAAUUCCUUGUCGGGUAAGUUCCGACCUGCACGAAUGGCGUAACGAUGGCCACACUGUCUCCUCCGCAGACUCAGCGAAGUUGAAAUGUUUGUGAUGAUGCAAUCUCCCCGCGGAAAGACGGAAAGACCCCAUGAACCUUUACUGUAGCUUUGUAUGGGACUUUGAACAGG